rnacentral:tRNA from 1 species
UGCAUCGGCCGGGAAUCGAACCGCCCGCGUGGCAGGCGAGCAUUCUACCACUGAACCAAAAGC